rnacentral:rRNA from 1 species
CAGCCGUAAACUAUGCGCGUUAGGUGUAUCGGUGACCACGAGUUACCGAGGUGCCGAAGGGAAACCGUGAAACGUGCCGCCUGGGAAGUACGGUCGCAAGGCUGAAACUUAAAGGAAUUGGCGGGGGAGCACCACAACAGGUGGAGCCUGCGGUUUAAUUGGACUCAACGCCGGGAAGCUCACCGGAUAGGACAGCAGAAUGAUUGCCGGGCUGAAGACCCUGCAGGACUAGCUGAGAGGAGGUGCAUGGCGUCAGUGACU